AAGUCGUAACAAGGUUUCCGUAGGUGAACCUGCGGAAGGAUCAUUAUUGUAUUCACCUGCGAUGCUGUUGCUGGCUCCUUGUGGGCAUGUGCACGCUUCGUAAGUUAAUUUCAACCACCUGUGAACCUUUUGUAGUCUUGGGUGACGCUAUAAAUCAAAGGAAACUUUGGAUUUGAAUGCUGCUGGCUUGUAAAAAGGUCGGCUUCAUUCUACAGCAGAGCCCGGGUACUAUGCUUUACACACCCCAUUGUAUGUCAUAGAAUGUAAUUCAAGGGCUUCAAUGCCUUUAAACUUAAUACAACUUUCAGCAACGGAUCUCUUGGCUCUC
rnacentral:misc_RNA from 1 species